CUGGGGGCGGGCCCACGUCAGGAGGAAAAGGAGGGGCCUGCUCCACAGAAAAGCCGAGUGGGCAGGGUGGUAGGACUCUAUUCCCUGCCAGAGGCUGGCCUUCAAGCCGAGAGGGAGACUCAAAUUAAACAGGGGCGGGCCUCCCAGAGUCUGGUACCCGAGGUGCUACACCCUACGGGGGCGUGGCCAUUUGCGAGGGAGGCCUUAGGGAUCCGCAAGGUCGGGUUCUGAGAGGACCGGGCCGUGAUGUGCCUGAGACUGCCAUCCGAGAGUUAUUCGGCUCUCGUCUGCCUGGCAGCAUGAAGCAUCGCACCCUGACCUCCAGCCCGGCCCUCUGGGCCUCUAUCCCGUGUCCACGCUCUGAGCUGCGUCUGGACCUGGUUUUAGCUUCUGGACAGUCUUUCCGGUGGAGGGAGCAAAGCCCUGCACACUGGAGUGGCGUUCUGGCAGAUCAAGUAUGGACACUGACUCAGACCGAGGAGCAGCUCUAUUGCACUGUGUACCGAGGAGACAAGAGCCAGGUCGGCAGGCCCACCCUAGAAGAGCUGGAAGCCUUACACAAGUACUUUCAGCUGGAUGUCAGCCUGGCUCAGCUGUAUAGCCACUGGGCUUCUGUGGACUCCCACUUCCAAAAAGUGGCUCAGAAAUUCCAAGGUGUGAGACUGCUAAGACAAGACCCCACGGAAUGCCUUUUCUCCUUCAUCUGUUCCUCCAACAACAACAUUGCUCGAAUCACUGGCAUGGUAGAACGGCUGUGCCAGGCCUUUGGACCUCGACUCAUUCAGCUUGAUGAUGUCAUUUACCAUAGCUUCCCCAGCCUUGAGGCCCUAGCUGGUCCAGAGGUAGAAGCUCACCUCAGAAAGUUGGGUCUAGGGUACCGGGCCCGUUAUGUAUGUGCCAGCGCCAAAGCCAUCCUGGAAGAGAAAGGCGGGCUGGCUUGGCUGCAGCAACUUCGAAAAGCCCCGUAUGAAGAGGCCCAUAAGGCUCUCUGCACUCUGCCAGGGGUGGGCACCAAGGUGGCUGACUGCAUCUGCUUAAUGGCCCUUGACAAACCCCAGGCCGUGCCUGUGGACGUCCACGUAUGGCAGAUCGCCAAGCAUGACUACGGCUGGCACUCUACCACAUCCCAAGCUAAGGGCCCGAGCCCCCUGGCCAAUAAAGAACUGGGAAACUUUUUCCGGAAUCUGUGGGGACCUUAUGCUGGCUGGGCUCAAGCAGUGCUGUUCAGUGCUGAUCUGCGCCAACCAAACCAGGCUCGGGAGCCGCCAGCAAAGCGCAAGAAGGGGCCUAAGAGUCCAGAAGGCUAGCAGCUGAGCUACACUACAUUUCCCAGGCUCCACUGCAGUCAGAUGGACUCAUGGGACAAAUUCUUCAUUGGAAAGUGAUCUAAAAAGUGAUGUCCCCUCUGUUGGAGAAUCACCUGGGUUUCAGCUUCCAGUACACGCAGCCGCCUGCUUGCAGAGGACAGCAAGGUCUCAAGCUCCAGCUGCAGAGUGUCCAGCUCCUCAAUACCAAUGCCAUCGUCCUCGGAGCGGGCCAGUACUGCCGUGUACCGGGGACAGACCUUCAGGUGGUCCACAGACUUGAAAUCAUGGAAUUGCAAUGGGCAGUCCUUCAGUUCACUCAUGGCUCAGGAGAUGGGAUUCUGUAAAACUAGAGAGAAGGCCAUUGGAUGGGAGACAAAGUAGCAUGGAAGAGAGGUCCAACAAAGAAACCAGGAUUCAAUACCUUUAUAGAUACGGAUGGUGGCAACGUUCCUGUUCAUAGAGCCCUGAUUGUACAGAGGGGGGCUUACUUCACUGAAUUAUACACACAACCUUGGGGGAUGGGCUUUAUUCAUGCUUUCCUUUCUUCCUUUGAUGAAAAAGGAAACAGACUCCUAAGUGCAAUUCAUUGUCUUUUUUGUUUUGGUAGCACUUAAGACUGAACCUGAGUCUCACACAUGCUGUUAUCUUCAGGUUUUUUUUUGUUUUUUUGUUUUUUUUUGAGACAAAGUCUCACUAUGUGGUCUUGGCUGGCCUGGUACUCAUUAUACUUGCCUCUACAUCCCAGAGUGCUGGGAUAAAGGUGUAUACCACCACACCUGACUUCCCAUCCUCAAACUUGCUAAGUAACCGAAUAUUUGUUUUCACCUCCCACGUGAUGGGAUUCCAGGCAUGUAACCACACCUGGCUUAUUCAGUGCAUGUAGGCACAUAGUCUCCAAACAGCUACAUUCAGCCCCCUUUCAUCAAUUUUUUAUUGAGACAGGUUCUCACUCAGUUGUCCAGACAGGCCUUGCUUGCACUUAUGAUCCACCUGCUUCAGCCUCCCUAGUAGCUAGGUUUACAAACCUGCAUGAUUAAUUCGAACCCAAGAAGUCUCAAACCUGCACUACAAGAGAGAUACCAGUGUGCCCUGUCUUCCUAUGCCCUCUGUUGGGCUCUUUCAAGCAUUCUAUCUUACAGGGUUCACCCAGCCUCUCCUCAUUCCACUUUUGUACCUCUCUGCGUCCCUAGCUAGUUUGGAACACGAGCUGGUCAAGCAGACAGAACUAAGUUCCAGCCCAUUAUGUGCCCCUCUAAACAUGUUAUUUAACCUGAAUCUUAGUUUCUUUUUUUUUUUUUUCCAGGACAAGAGAUGAUGCCUCGGUCCGUUUCCCCAUUAAAAAGUAUCAAUCUGUAAAAUGGGGGCAUCAAGAGUACCUACCUCCCUGGAAUGUUCUGAGGAUUAAGAGGUGAUGCUUCUCAGGUGCCCAGUUCAGUGCCUGGCACAGAAGUGGGACUGCUUAAUGGCUGGCUCCACCUGUGUGUCGCCCCAAGAUCCCGCCUCCAGGGUCCUCGUCCUCUAGGGAGCCCCUAACACAGCUCCCGCCUCUCCUACCUCCUCUCUGCGGCCUCCUACAGGCCCCGGGCCGCAGGAGGGGGCGGGGAGUCCAGUGCUCUCAAGCAACCGCCCCGGAACUGGCUAUGGGCGGGCCCGGCCCCCUGCAGUUGACGCGAGGGCGGGGACACAGCCAGCCCACGGUGGCCUCCGGGGGGUGGGGGGGUCUAAGGCCACCUACGAACCUCCGACAGGUGGAAUGCUAGGCCUGAGGUGUCCCCUAGGAAGCAGCCCGGGGCGAGGGCGGGGCUCAGAGCCCAGAUCUCCAGGGACCCACUUGCUCGGCCAAGCCCCAGGGCUCCCGGUAGGAGGAGCCCGGGCGGAGAAGGGAGCACCACCGGAAGAAACGUCGGGCUUCUCCGGCUCUGCCUGUCCUAAUUUGGUGCCCAACCUGAGGUCGGGCUGUACUAUUGUUACAUGGGGGGAAGUUACAACAGAGGCGACAAGAACCAAAGGCGCUGGGAAGAGAUGUAUGGAGACCCAAGGGGCUUCGAGUGCUACUGUGUCAUCCCAGGCCUCCUACAAGUCCCUACGGUCCCAGUGUGAGAUCGUCCAGGGGAUCCGAACGUCGCUCGGAACUUCCUCCCCGGUCCUGCUCGAGAUGGUCCCCCCCGGAAGUGCUGGCGGAGACUGCGGCUGCGCCUCGCGAAAGGGCAGGCGUCGCGGGGCCGGGCACUUCCGCACUUCCGCUUUCCGGCCCCGCGACAGCACCCGAGAUGAGUUCGGAGGAGGCGGGAAGUGGGGCUGCUAGGUCUGUGGUGGCGGCUGCAAGGAAGUCAAGAAGACCACUUUGAGGAAGGAAGAGGCCUUUUCAGUGAGCUGAGCUCUGACGGACUGACCUAAGCAAUGAGGAGGAAA